AGAGUUUGAUCAUGGCUCAGGAUGAACGCUAGCUACAGGCUUAACACAUGCAAGUCGAGGGGAAACGACAUCGAAAGCUUGCUUUUGAUGGGCGUCGACCGGCGCACGGGUGAGUAACGCGUAUCCAACCUGCCCACCACUUGGGGAUAACCUUGCGAAAGUAAGACUAAUACCCAAUGACGUCUCUAGAAGACAUCUGAAAGAGAUUAAAGAUUUAUCGGUGAUGGAUGGGGAUGUGUCUGAUUAGCUUGUUGGCGGGGUAACGGCCCACCAAGGCGACGAUCAGUAGGGGUUCUGAGAGGAACGGUCCCCACAUUGGAACUGAGACACGGUCCAACUCUACGGAGGCA
rnacentral:rRNA from 1 species